AAUAGCCUAACGGCUGAACCAGCAACUUGGAGGAAUGUAUAGCAAUAGCUGAUUGCACCAACAAACAGUUGAUGCAAUAUCGACUCUGUCGAAUAAAAUUCUAGGUAGAAUUAUGAUAAUGACAUUGUCUACCUAUGUGUCUUGACCAAAUUACGUGCCAGCAGUCGCGGUAAUACGUAAAAGACUAGUGUUAUUCAUCUUUAAUAGGUUUAAAGGGUACCUAGACGGUAAAUCAAGCCUUAGUCGGGACUAAUUUACUAGAGUUACUUGUGAGGGGGUAUUAAAGUACUGCUGGUGUAGAGAUGAAAUUCUGUCAUACCUCUUUUCGAAAGAAAAAUAAUGGCACAGGUAUAGGCGAAAGCAUCCCCUUAUGUGAUAACUGACGUUGAAGGACGAAGGCUUUGUGUCGCGAACAGGAUUAGAUACCCCAGUAGUCAAAGCAGAAAAUGAUGAAUGUCAUAGGUUAGAUAAUAUUUAUCCUAUAAAUGAAAGUGUAAGCAUUCCACCUCAAGAGUAAUUUGGCAACAUUGGAACUGAAAUCAUUAGACCGUUUCUGAAACCAGUAGUGAAGUAUGUUGUUUAAUUUGAUGUUCCGCAAAAAACCUUACCACAAUUUGAAUAUUUAUAUUUAUUUUUUUUUCUUCUGUUCUAUUAUGACGUUUUCUUGUUUCUCUUUUUUGUGGUUUUUUUCAUCUUUCCUGGUAUUUUCAUCUUUCUUUACUAUUUUUUUUUUUUAAAGUAUACAAGAAACAUGAAAAAAAAUGAGGAAUGAAGGAAAGAUUAUGAUAAUAAAAUUAUAUUAUGUAAGAAAUAACAUGAAGACGAAGUAUAAAAUAGGGAGGAAAAAAGAUAUAUUUACAAGCGUUGCACGGCUGUCUUCAGUUAAUGUCGUGAGACUUUGGUUAGUUCCAUUAAAUUAACGUAAACCCUUACUUUAUUUUUAGAUAGAGUAGUUCCCCGCUAGAUUGGAUAUGAUAACAGGGACUAAGACAAGUCAUCAUGACCUGAAUAUUGUGGGCUAUAGACGUGCCACAUAAACCUUACAAAAGGAUGUGAAAUUGUGAAAUUGAGCUAAUCCCCCAAAAUUGGAGAUACAUUAACAAU
rnacentral:rRNA from 1 species